UCUCUGGUGGCCUAGUGGUUAGAGCGUCCGCUUCUGAUGUGGGAGGUCGUGAGUUAAAUCCCCGGUUGAGUCACACCAAAGA